rnacentral:rRNA from 1 species
UACGGAGGAUCCGAGCGUUAUCCGGAUUUAUUGGGUUUAAAGGGAGCGUAGGUGGAUUGUUAAGUCAGUUGUGAAAGUUUGCGGCUCAACCGUAAAAUUGCAGUUGAAACUGGCAGUCUUGAGUACAGUAGGGGUGGGCGGAAUUCGUGGUGUAGCGGUGAAAUGCUUAGAUAUCACGAAGAACUCCGAUUGCGAAGGCAGCUCACUGGACUGCAACUGACACUGAGGCUCGAAAGUGUGGGUAUCAAACAGG